AUUGAACGCUGGCGGCAUGCUUUACACAUGCAAGUCGAACGGUAACAGGUUAAGCUGACGAGUGGCGAACGGGUGAGUAAUACAUCGGAACGUGCCCGAUCGUGGGGGAUAACGCAGCGAAAGCUGCGCUAAUACCGCAUACGAUCUGAGGAUGAAAGCGGGGGACCGUAAGGCCUCGCGCGAUCGGAGCGGCCGAUGUCAGAUUAGGUAGUUGGUGGGGUAAAGGCUCACCCAGCCAACGAUCUGUAGCUGGUCUGAGAGGACGACCAGCCACACUGGGACUGAGACACGGCCCAGACUCCUACGGGAGGCAGCAGUGGGGAAUUUUGGACAAUGGGCGCAAGCCUGAUCCAGCAAUGCCGCGUGCAGGAAGAAGGCCUUCGGGUUGUAAACUGCUUUUGUACGGAGCGAAAAGGUCCUUUCUAAUACAGAGGGCUCAUGACGGUACCGUAAGAAUAAGCACCGGCUAACUACGUGCCAGCCGCCGCAGUAACAC
rnacentral:rRNA from 1 species